UCCUGGUAAAAUCGGGUAGCUUAACUAUCUAUAUGCUAGGAAUACUGCUAUACUAGAGGGCGGGAGAGGUCUGAGGUACUACAGGGGUAGGGGUGAAAUCUUAUAAUCCUUGUAGGACCACCAGUGGCGAAGGCGUCAGACUGGAACGCGCCUGACGGUGAGGGACGAAAGCCAGGGGAGCGAACCGGAUUAGAUACCCGGGUAGUCCUGGCCGUAAACGAUGCAUACUAGGUGAUGGUACGGCCAUGAGCCGUAUCAGUGCCGUAGGGAAACCGUUAAGUGUGCCGCCUGGGAAGUACGGUCGCAAGGCUAAAACUUAAAGGAGUUGGCGGGGGAGCACCACAAGGGGUGAAGCCUGCGGUUCAAUUGGACUCAACGCCGGGAAACUUACCAGGGGAGACAGCAGUAUGACGGUCAGGUUGACGACCUUACCCGACGAGCUGAGAGGAGGUGCAUGGCCGUCGCCAGUUCGUGCCGUGAGGUAUCCUGUUAAGUCAGGCAACGAACGAGAUCCGCGCCUUUAUUUGCCAACAAGAAGUCACGACUUCGUUGGGAACACUAAAGGGACCGCCGUCGAUAAGACGGAGGAAGGAGCGGGCAAAGGCAGGUCAGUAUGCCCCGAAACCCCUGGGCUACACGCGGGCUGCAAUGGUAUGAACAAUGGGCUGUGACUCCGAAAGGAGAAACCAAUCCCGAAAUCAUAUCUCAGUUGGAAUUGUCGGCUGUAACCCGCCGACAUGAACGUGGAAUCCCUAGUAAUCGUGUGUCAUCAUCGCCCGGUGAAUACGU
rnacentral:rRNA from 1 species